GCAAGUCGAACGGCAGCGCGGGGCAACCUGGCGGCGAGUGGCGAACGGGUGAGUAAUAUAUCGGAACGUACCCUGGAGUGGGGGAUAACGUAGCGAAAGUUACGCUAAUACCGCAUACGAUCUAAGGAUGAAAGUGGGGGAUUCGCAAGAACCUCAUGCUCCUGGAGCGGCCGAUAUCUGAUUAGCUAGUUGGUAGGGUAAAAGCCUACCAAGGCAUCGAUCAGUAGCUGGUCUGAGAGGACGACC
rnacentral:rRNA from 1 species